CCCACGCGGGGAGCCGUCCAGCGGGGCCUGGCUGGACUGAGCCCGUGCCGGACACGGUGCUCCGUUGCCGUCCUGGAGGGCCCAGAGGAUUGCUCGAGGUGUGCCCACCAGGCCCCUCCCCUGAGACAGGGGGCUGGGUGCCGUCAGGUUCUUUCUUGGCUGCCCCUGGAACCCGGAGGUGGCCCUUGCCUGGUUCCUGGAUCCUUUCACUUCCCCUUCCUCGUCGCCUUGCCGUGUGGAAGGGAAGGGCCGCUCUUAGCCCGCCAGCCCUGGCCAAGGAGGGGAACCCACUCGGAGGGUGGGGUGGCACCAAGGCCUUGCGCGGCCCAACGCACAAGGGGGGACGGCGCGCCCUGCUGCGGGCCCUCGCCCUGGCCCCGGUGCCACCAGUUUUCCUUGGCCGGGAUUCUUUGUGGCCUAGGCAGGCAGGCGCCCGUGCUGUCUCCGCACUGACCUAGGCACCCACCCACAUGAGGCGUCGGGAGGUGUGGGGCCGGGAGAACAUUGCUCUGCCUGGUUUCCUAGGCGGAGGCAGGUGUGUUGUCGGCAGAGACCCUCACUCAGGCCAAGUGCGUGAUGUCUCUUCUUCUUCCGCAGACGCCGAGCCCGGCACCCGGGAACCUGUUCCGGACGUGCCGCUCCCAACCAUGACUCCCAGCACCGAGGAGGCUGACCCCGACCACGACCACGACCACGACGCCGAGCCCGGCACCCGGGAACCUGUUCCGGACGUGCCGCUCCCAACCAUGACUCCCAGCACCGAGGAGGCUGACCCCGACCACGACCACGACCACGACGCCGAGCCCGGCACCCGGGAACCUGUUCCGGACGUGCCGCUCCCAACCAUGACUCCCAGCACCGAGGAGGCUGACCACGACCACGACCACGACCACGACCACGACCACGACCACGGUAGGGGCCCGUGUGCCUUGUGUCCUCUGCCCCUGGGAGCCCGAUGGGUUGCCGGGGCUCCUUGAGCGAGAACGGGCUUUCCUAUUGCCUCCGGGACCGGGAAGGUGUCGCCAUGCGAUUCCUUGUCCCGAAACGCUGGCCUGUGCUCUGGAGCUGCGGGGACGUCCUCGGGGCUCUGCCCGGGAAGGAUGUGCUCCCUGGGGAGAGAGGGGCCGCGGUGCGAGUCAGGCACUCCGAGACGGGGCCGUGUGUCCUCCCGGGUUCUCUGGUUGGCUGCACGCUGCCUGGGCCUGUCCGCAGGUUGUCCGUUUCUCUGCGUGGUGGUCUGCUAACCCAUGCGGGAGGGGCGUAGGCUUCCCCGCCCCCCACGUCUGCUCCCGCCAUGACCCACCCCGGGGGUCUGGUGCAGCACUCCCAGCCCGCAUGCCUGGCGUGGCCACGGAGGCUGCGAGUGCAGAAGCCUCAUGGGACCCGGCGUGGAGUGCCCCACUGCCCCUGGUGGCCCAGUGUGCGCAGCGGACUUAGGCGCGGGCACGCUGGGCUCCGCGAGGGUGGUGCUCUGUGCCUCUGCCUCUCCUGAGACGUCCUUGCCUUCCUCUUGGCGUUGGCUGGUCUCCGAGCUCCCAGGACAGCGUCCAGGAGGCGUGGCCGCUGCCUGAGGACCAGUCCUCGAUGUGCCCUCUGACGCUGGCACGAGCGUGUUCUGGACCCGUGCCGUGCCCCCAGGCAGCUGGGGAGUUGUCUGCCUUGUAGUGCGGCGGGCCACCAGGAGAAUCUGACCCAGUGUCCUGGAUGGGCCAGUUCCCAGUCGUGCGCUCGUGGCCCAGACCAGACCCGGGCUGGUGUGUGGAGCCAGCCACGCGGGCCCGUCUGUCCUGCGUGCCCUGAGUGGGCGCAGAUGAGAGAGGGCGCGGUUGCUCCGUCCGCUUUUCUCCCCUCUCGCCCCCAUGCGGGGAGCCGUCCAGCGAGGCCUGGCUGGACUGAGCCCGUGCCGGACACGGUGCUCCGUUGCCGUCCUGGAGGGCCCAGAGGAUUGCUCGAGGUGUGCCCACCAGGCCCCUCCCC
rnacentral:lncRNA from 1 species